GCACCCUUUACGCCCAGUAAUUCCGAUUAACGCUUGCACCCUACGUAUUACCGCGGCUGCUGGCACGUAGUUAGCCGGUGCUUCUUCUGUCGAUACCGUCAUGAAUUGUGAUUAUUUACCACAACCUUUUCUUCUCAACUGAAAGAGCUUUACAACCCGAAGGCCUUCUUCACUCACGCGGCAUUGCUGGAUCAGGCUUGCGCCCAUUGUCCAAAAUUCCCCACUGCUGCCUCCCGUAGGAGUCUGGGCCGUGUCUCAGUCCCAGUGUGGCUGGUCGUCCUCUCAGACCAACUACUGAUCGUCGCCUUGGUAGGCCCUUACCCCACCAACUAGCUAAUCAGGCAUCGGCCACUCCAAAAGCGCAAGGCCUUGCGAUCCCCUGCUUUUCUCC
rnacentral:rRNA from 1 species